rnacentral:rRNA from 1 species
GACGAACGCUGGCGGCGUGCUUAACACAUGCAAGUCGAACGGAAAGGCCCUGCUUUUGUGGGGUGCUCGAGUGGCGAACGGGUGAGUAACACGUGAGUAACCUGCCCUUGACUUUGGGAUAACUUCAGGAAACUGGGGCUAAUACCGGAUAGGAGCUCCUGCUGCAUGGUGGGGGUUGGAAAGUUUCGGCGGUUGGGGAUGGACUCGCGGCUUAUCAGCUUGUUGGUGGGGUAGUGGCUUACCAAGGCUUUGACGGGUAGCCGGCCUGAGAGGGUGACCGGCCACAUUGGGACUGAGAUACGGCCCAGACUCCUACGGGAGGCAGCAGUGGGGAAUAGUGCACAAUGGGCGGAGGCCUGAUGCAGCAACGCCGCGUGCGGGAUGACGGCCUUCGGGUUGUAAACCGCUUUCGCCUGUGACGAAGCGUGAGUGACGGUAAUGGGUAAAGAAGCACCGGCUAACUACG